AUCCAUGGUUUUAAUUACUGUUUUGAUCUAGAAAAAAGCACGAGUCGAUUAUCAAUCAACAGAAAAGGUCUAAGGUUGACUUCAAAGUCAAAUUAAAUGUCGACUUACAUCGAUAAAAAUGUCUUGACUAUAGUCUACUACAAUCUGCCAGUAAGUCAACUUAGAAAUCUACUUUAUGGCGACUAAAAGUCAAUUUUUAACCGAGGUUGUAUGGAUUUUUCAGUUUUUAUUGUUGUAUUAAACAUAAAAGUAAUAAACAGAUGUUAGUAAAACUUUACAACAAUACAUCUUAACGGUCCAGAAAAGUACUGUUAAAUUUUUGAAACGAUGCACUUGCUCGUUUGAGUAAUAUAACUGAUAAAAUAUAAAAAUUUACAAUAAUCAAAGUAAUGCAGCACGUAAGUAUGAUAAAUGUGUACUAGUGAUCUAACAUGAAUUUCAAAUUGUUGUAUUUAGUUAUCUAA
rnacentral:lncRNA from 1 species